rnacentral:rRNA from 1 species
GACGAACGCUGGCGGCGUGCUUAACACAUGCAAGUCGAACGGAAAGGCCCUGCUUUUGUGGGGUGCUCGAGUGGCGAACGGGUGAGUAACACGUGAGUAACCUGCCCUUGACUUUGGGAUAACUUCAGGAAACUGGGGCUAAUACCGGAUAGGAGCUCCUGCUGCAUGGUGGGGGUUGGAAAGUUUCGGCGGUUGGGGAUGGACUCGCGGCUUAUCAGCUUGUUGGUGGGGUAGUGGCUUACCAAGGCUUUGACGGGUAGCCGGCCUGAGAGGGUGACCGGCCACAUUGAGCCUAAGAUACGGCCCAGAGUCCUACGGGAGGCAGCAGUGUGGAAUAUUGCACAAUGGGCGGAGGCCUGAUGCAGCACCCCCGCGUGCGGGAUGACGGCCUUCGGGUUGUAAACCGCUUUCGCCGGUGACGAAGCGUGAGUGACGGUAAUGGGUAAAGAAGCACCGGCUAACUACGUG